UCUGUCGAGCAUCAGUUGUAUGAAAAAUAACAGUUCCGGAAUUCGAUGUUGUGAAUAUUGUAUUUAUAAUCGACACAAAAGAGAAGAUUUUUAUCAAAUCUACAGGAAAAAAGAGACUCAUCAAAGUUUUUGUUUUGUAUCAUAUAUUCCAACACCAAAUCACACCAACUUACCUCCUCGGUUUUCGGCGACGACUCCUCCGAUCGGGCUACUACCGGCUUCGACUCUUCCGACUCAACUUCGGGAGUGUCGAUUUUCUUCACCUCCUCCUUUGGCGUCUCGACGAUCGUUUCCUUCGUCUCUACCGGUUUGGUCGCCGCCUCUCCUUCCGUGGGAAGAACAAUGCUCGGGGUUUCCUCGAUCGGCUUGGCAGCUUCGGGUUCAGCGGACUUGGCCUCCUUCAGUUUCUGCUCCA